UCAANCAAUGUAUGCUUUGGAAACUGUUAGACUUGAGUGCAGAAGGGGAGAGUGGAAUUCCAUGUGUAGCGGUGAAAUGCGUAGAUAUAUGGAGGAACACCGGUGGCGAAAGCGGCUCUCUGNUCUGUCACUGACGCUGAGGCUNGAAAGCGUGGGUAGCGAACAGGAUUAGAUACCCUGGUAGUNCACGCCGUAAACGCUGAGUGCUAGGUGUUAGNUCCUUUCCGGGACUUAGUGCCGACGCUAACGCAUUAAGCACUCCGCCUGGGGAGUACGACCGCAAGGUUGAAACUCAAAGGAAUUGACGGGGGCCCGCACAAGCGGUGGAGCAUGUGGUUUAAUUCGAAGCAACGCGAAGAACCUUACCAGGUCUUGACAUCCCGAUGCCCGCUCUAGAGAUAGAGUUUUUCUUCGGAACAUCGGAGACAGGUGGUGCAUGGUUGUCGUCAGCUCGUGUCGUGAGAUGUUGGGUUAAGUCCCGCAACGAGCGCAACCCUUAUUGUUAGUUGCCAUCAUUAAGUUGGGCACUCUAGCGAGACUGCCGGUAAUAAACCGGAGGAAGGUGGGGAUGACGUCAAAUCAUCAUGCCCCUUAUGACCUGGGCUACACACGUGCUACAAUGGUUGGUACAACGAGUCGCAAGCCGGUGACGGCAAGCUAAUCUCUGAAAGCCAAUCUCAGUUCGGAUUGUAGGCUGCAACUCGCCUACAUGAAGUCGGAAUCGCUAGUAAUCGCGGAUCAGCACGCCGCGGUGAAUACGUUCCCGGGCCUUGUACA
rnacentral:rRNA from 1 species